ACUGGCCUCACAUGAUUUUGCUUUUCCAUAGUUUUGCAGAAAUAAAUUGCUAAUGAACACCCGCCCUUAAUGCGACAGGCCACCGCUGGUAGCACCCUAGAGUCCUGCCAAAAUGGGAGAUCUUUUAUACUUUUCUGGGUCUAUGCCGAAGGAACAAAGAGUGAGGGAUCUGGACAGAAGAGGUGGGGGCCAUGUAUCUUUCCAUGUGAUCCUUCGUUGCACGCCACCCUUAUGUGUACAUGACCCUAAAAGAUACUUUGUCAACAUUAUUAUUCACACAUCUAAGAACAGCUCCACUGCUUUUUUCUUUUCCCUGCUUCGACAUCAGGGCAUUUAGCCGACCCUUCCAGAAGUUCAGAGGAUGACAGGGGACAUGCCAAGAAUAAUGAAGAAAAAUCAUGGAGAACAUAAAGCCCGUCAGUAGACAUAAAUCUCCUUGCUGUAAUCCCUGCCUGUUGUUUGUUUCAUCAGAAGGACAUUGACAAAUGGUGAGCCAAUACGACGUGCAAUUCUUCCAAUCACAUCUGAUACUCAUUUCCAAAGACACAAAACACGCUAAGAAUGUUACAAGCGCUGUAAGGAAGGAAGAUUGUCGUCAAACUCUUCUCUCUAGUCUUGACCUUAAAGACUCCAGUUCUUCCAGCAUCCUACAACCCCUGAUUUUCUGCUUCUCUUCAAAGAUGAAUGAUGCAAAGAUGAUGAGAUGUUGAAACUUUCUUGUGGAUUGUGGGUUAAAAUGACAUAAUGUUGCUUUGAGGUGAUUUAAAUGACUUGAUUCAAUCCUUUGCAUAUAGUUUACUUUGCUUCCUCUAGAUAAGGUAACUGUUUAUGUGUUUAUGUGGCACCUGCCGUAAUAGUGAGUUACAGAAGAAAUCUCCACAUGAAAGUGCCCUGAAGCGUCCACCUCUUCCUGCCUUCAUAUCAUCUUGUCUGACUGUUAUUUCCUGUGUGUGGAAAGUUAGUAGGAAAACUCUAGCAUGAGUAUUCCCUGUUCUGGAAGAUCCUCUGUUCACAGAGGGCAGUUCUACAUUUGAAAGUCUGUCAACGGGCAGUUGUCUAUUUGAAGAACUCCUCUGUUUGAAGCAUUGCCUAGUCCAAGUUCAGCUUAAAGGUUAAGAACCCUUAGAAAAAAGAAUAGGGGUCUUGAAUUUAUCCAUCAACAGACAAGCCAGCAGGCUGAAUGUGAUUAGGGAGGUCAUACAUCUGCCCUUCUCAUGCUGCAUUUCUAUUUACAUGUAGUAAUCAUCUCUAAGUUUGCAUAUGUUUAAGCAAAUCUGGAUAGAUAUUUUAGACAAAAUGGAUUCCUCCUUCCUCCUUUUUUCUCAUUUCUUUUGGCACUGCUCAAGCACCUCUGUGGCUUCCUAGCUAUAAUUGCUAGUAAUGAUCAAUGGUUAUUUUGUAUAAAAAUUGCAUUCAACCAAAUAACAAUGUUUCUUCAGAUGUUACUGAACAAAAACAUGUAUGAAGCCAAUUUGUAUAAAAAGAGGAAAGAAAUUAGAAAACUCUGACAAUCACUCAGUUUAUUAUUGCAGUCUGUAAAUCUAGCUGCCUGGAAAUAAAGAAUCAAUAUUUCAUCGCCCUCUUUAAAAA
ensembl:lncRNA